rnacentral:rRNA from 1 species
AUUGAACGCUGGCGGCAGGCCUAACACAUGCAAGUCGAACGAGCGGUGGACGGGUGAGAAAAGUCUGGGAAAAUGCCCGAUGGAGGGGGAUAACUACUGGAAACGGGAGCUAAUACAGCAUAACACCAGAUGUGCGCAGAGGGGAUUAGCGAGUAGGUGGGGGAACGGCUCACCUAGGCGACGCUCCCUAGCUGGUCUGAGAGGAUGACCAGCCACACUGGGACUGAGACACGGUCCAGACUCCUACGGGAGGCAGCAGUGGGGAAUAUUGCACAAUGGGCGCAAGCCUGAUGCAGCCAUGCCGCGUGUGUGAAGAAGGCCUUCGGGUUGUAAAGCACUUUCAGCGGGGAGGCGUUACCCGCAGAAGAAGCACCGGCUAACUCCGUGCCAGCAGCCGCGGUAAUAC